rnacentral:rRNA from 1 species
GAUGAACGCUGGCGGUAUGCUUAACACAUGCAAGUCGAACGGACUCUUCGGAGUUAGUGGCUGACGGGUUAUUAACGCUUUAUAAUCUCGCUUUGGUUUGUGGACCACCACUGGAAACGGUGGUUAAUACCGGUAGUGCCGAGAGGUAAAAGAGAAAUUGCCUGAAGAUGAGCUCGCGUCUUAUUAGCUAGUUGGUGAGGUAAAGGCUCACCAAGGCAGCGAUCAGUAGCUGGUCUGUGAGGAGGACCAGCCACAAUGGGACUGAGACACCGCGCAGACUACUACGGGAGGAAGCAGUGGGGAAGUAUACGCAAUGGGCGAAAGACUGACGGAGCAAUACCGCGGGAGGGAAGAAGGCUCUUGGGUUGAAAACCUCUUUUCUUAGCGAAGAAGAAAAUGACGGUACCUAAGGAAGAAGCAUCGGCUAACUCCGUG